CAAUGGGAUUAUACUGGGAUUAUAAUGGGGUUCUAUUGGGAUUAGAUGGGAUUAAACUGGGAUUAGAAUGGGGUGAGAAUGGGAUUACAGUGGGGGCAAUGGGGUUAUACUGGGAUUAGAAUGGGGUUCUAAUGGGAUUAGAAUGGGGGGCAAUGGGAUUAUAAUGGGAUUAUAAUGGGGUUAUAAUGGGGUUGUACUGGGAUCAUACUGGGAUUAGAAUGGGGUGAGAAUGGGAUUCCAAUGGGGGCAAUGGGGUUAUACUGGGAUUAUAAUGGGGUUAUAUUGGGAUCAUACUGGGAGUAUAAUGGGGUUAUACUGGGAUUAGAAUGAGGCGGCAAUGGGAUUAUAAUGGGGUUAUAAUGGGGUUAUACUGGGAUUAGAAUGGGGUUAUACUGGGGUUAUAGUGGGGUUAUACUGGGAUUAAACUGGGAUUAGAAUGGGGUGAGAAUGGGAUUACAAUGGGGGCAAUGGGGUUAAACUGGGAUUAGAAUGGGGUUCUAAUGGGGUUAGAAUGGGGGGCAAUGGGAUUAUAAUGGGGUUAUAAUGGGGUUGUACUGGGAUCAUACUGGGAUUAGAAUGGGGUGGUAAUGGGAUUCCAAUGGGGGCAAUGGGGUUAUACUGGGAUUAGAAUGGGGUUCUAUUGGGAUCAUACUGGGAGUAUAAUGGGGUUAUACUGGGAUUAGAAUGAGGCGGCAAUGGGAUUGUAAUGGGGUUAUAAUGGGGUUAUACUGGGAUUAAACUGGGAUUAGAAUGGGGGGGCAAUGGGGUCAUACUGGGAUUUGCAGCCCGUGCAUAGGAAUGCAACCUCGUUGCAACACGUGCAUUGCAACGUGAGCACCGCACACCUCAAGGGUUGCAACGCAGCUGCUUGGCAGCUCCUGCACCGCUGCUGUGCAUUGCAACGGGAAGGGAUUGUGCUGGAGAUUGGCAGCCCGUGCAUCAGAAUGCAAGCCCAUUGCAACACGUGCAUUGCAACGUGAGCACUGCACACUUCGAGGGUUGCAACGCAGCUACUUGGCAGCUCCUGCACUGCUGCUGUGCAUUGCAACGGGAAGGGAUUGUGCUGGAGAUUGGCAGCCCGUGCAUCAGAAUGCAAACUCAUUGCAACAUGUGCAUUGCAACGUGAGCACCUCACACCUCGAUGGUUGCAACGCAGCCACUUUGCAGCUCCUGCACUGCUGCUGUGCAUUGCAAUGGGCACGUGUUGCCUGCAACAUUUGCAUCCUGUGCAUCACAAUGCAAGCACUUUGCAACCCGUGCAUUGCACCUGGAACACCUUGCACCCAGAGGAUUGCAAUGAGUGCAGUUUGCACCUCCUGCACUGCUGCUGUGUAUUGCAAUGGGAAUGGAUGGUGUUGGAGAUUUGCAGCCCGGGCAUCAGAAUGCAAGCGCAUUGCAACAUGUGCAUUGCACCUGGAACACCUUACACCCAGAGGAUUGCAACGAGUGCACUUAGCACCUCCUGCACUCCUCCUGCACAUUGCUCCAUGCACGUGUUGCCUCCAACAUUUGCAUCCCGUGCAUCACAACACAAGCCCAUUGCAACCCAUGUAUCAGAGCCUGAGUACCUUCCACCCAGAGGACUGCAAUGAGUGCAGUUUACACCCCUGCACUGCUGCUGUGCAUUGUAAUGGGAAUGGACUGUGUUGGAGAUUUGCACCCCGUGCAUCGCAACGCAAGCGCAUUGCAACUCAUGCAUCACACCCUGAACACUUUGCACCCAGAGCACUACAGUGCAGGUGUAGUGGACCCCCUGUGUCAUUGCUGUGCAUUGCAAUGGGAAUGGAUUGCUCUGGAGAUUUGCACCCCGUGCAUGGCAACGCAAGCGCAUUGCAACCCAUGCAUCACACCCUGAACACUUUGCACCCAGAGCACUACAGUGCAGGUGUAGUGGACCCCCUGUGUCAUUGCUGUGCAUUGCAAUGGGAAUGGAUUGCUCUGGAGAUUUGCACCCCAUGCAUCGCAACGCAAGCGCAUUGCAACCCGUGCAUCACACCCUGAACACUCUGCACCCAGAGCACUGCAAUGCAGGUGUAGUGGACCCCCUGUGUCAUUGCUGUGCAUUGCAAUGGGAAUGGAUUGCUCUGGAGAUUGGAACUCCGUGCAUGGCAACGCAAGCGCAUUGCAACCCAUGCAUCACACCCUGAACACUUUGCACCCAGAGCACUGCAAUGCAGGUGCAGUGGACCCCCUGUUGUCAUUGCUGUGCAUUGCAACGGGAAUGUACCGUGCAGGAGAUUUGCACCCCGUGCAUGGCAACGCAAGCCCGCUGCGACCCCGCUGCGACCCGUGCAUCGCCACGUGCACCCCUUGCACCCUCCCCACCCCAACAACGCGCACACACAGCGCCGUGCACCGCUUUUACUCCAUUCCACCACUCCCCAACAUCCCCCCCCCCCACCCCCCCAAAACAACCCCUCUCAAACCGCCUCUCCCCGCUCCUCCUCCUCCCCUCCCCUCCCUCUCCAGCGCUCCUUCCAGCGCAGGGCUCGGUCUUGCACGGCUUGGCGGUAUUGGCCCCACCGGGAGCGGAGCUCUUCGCCGUCGCGGGAGAAACGGCGGCGGAGGCGUUUGCUGAGGGAGGCGACGCUUUGCUCCACCUCCGCCCCGUACUCCGCAACGCGGAGCCGCGCGUCCGCCGCCUCCGAGCGCAGCACCGUCAGCAGCGACCUAUGGGAAGAGGGGGAGGGGUCGAGGGGAGGGGCUGGGCCAAUGGGAAGCGGGGAUUGAGGAGAGGGGGAGGGGAUAAGGGGAGGAGCCAAUGGGAUGCGGGGCUUAGGGAGGGGGGAGGGGCUAAGGGAAGGAGUUGGGCCAAUGGGAAGUGGGGAUUAAGGAGAGGGGGCGGGGUUAAGGGGAGGGGCUGGGCCAAUGGGAAGUAGGGAUUAAGGAGAGGGGGCGGGGUUAAGGGGAGGAGCCAAUGGGUUGCGGGACUGGGAGGGGGCUGGGCCAAUGGGAAGCGGGGAUUGAGGGGAGGGGGCGGGGUUAAGAGGAGGAGCCAAUGGGUUGCAGGGUUUAGGAAGGGGGAGGGGUUAAGGGGAGGGGCUUGGCCAAUGGGAUGUGAGCUUAAGAAGAGGGGGAGGGGUUAAGGGAAGGAACUGGGCCAAUAGGAUGUGGGCUCAAGGGGAGGGGGCGUGGCUAGAGGAAGGGGGAGUGGCCGGGGGAGGGGCGUGGUCAGAAGGGGGCGUGGUCAGAGGGGGGCGUGGCCAGGUUAAUUGGGUGGUCAGAAGGGGCGUGGUCAGAAGGAAGCAGUGUGUCCAGUGAGAAGAGGCGUGGCCAGAUGAUAGUGGGCGUGGUCAGAGGCGGUGGGCGUGACCACAUUGAUGGUGUUGUCUGGAGGGGGCGAGGUCAGGUAGGGGGCGUGGCCUGGGAAAGGGGCGUGGCCAGAGGGAAGGGGCGUGGCCAUGUGGCUGGCGUGGCCAGAAGGGGCGUGGUCAGAUUAAAGGGCGGGGUCAGAUGAAAAGGAGGCGUGGCCAGAGGAACUGGCGUGCCAGUUGGAAGGUGGGCGGGGCCAGAAUGGGAGAGGCCGGAGAAAGGGGCGGGGCCUGAUAGAAAGGGGCGUGGUCAGGGAUGAGGGUGUGGCCAGAGGUGUUAGAUGGAAAGGGGGCGUGGCCGGGCGGAAGGUGGGCGGGGCCAGAAUGAGGGUGGCCAUAUGAAGGGGGCGUGAUUAGAGGGAAGGGGCGUGGCCAGGGGAAAAUGGGGCGUGGGCAUGUAAAGGGGGUGUGGUCGGGAGGAUGGCGUGGUUUGAUGGGGAAGUGGGCGUGGUCAGAGGGAAAGGGGGCGUGGCUGUUGGGAAAGGGGCGUGGUUAGGGGGUAGGUGGGCGUGGUCAAGGCGAAAGGGGCGUGGUCAGUGAACGGGGGCGUGGUCGGGAGGCGGGCGUGGUUUGAUAGGGUGAAUGGGCGCGGUCAGAGGGAAAGGGGGCGUGGCUGUUGGGAACGGGGCGUGGUUAUUGGGGUAUGUGGGCGUGGCCAAGGCUAAUGGGGCGUGGUCGGGAGGUGGGCGUGGUCGGGAGGCGGGCGUGUUUUGAUGGGGAAGUGGGCGUGGUCAGAGGGAAAGGGGGCGUGACAGUUGGAAAUGGGGCGUGGUUAGGGGGUAUGUGGGCGUGGCCAAGGCUAAUAGGGCGUGGUCGGGAGGUGGGCGUGGUUUGAUGGGGAAAAUGGGCGUGGUCAGAGGGGAAAGGGGCGUGGCCAGAGGGAAGGGGGCGUGGCCAGACGGCGCCCAUAGCCCCCCAUGGCCCCACUCACUGCACGGUCUGCCCCACAUCGCUGCCCCACAGGCGGUCGCUGAAGUUCUUGGCCGCCUCCUCCACGCGGCCCCACAGCGUCAAUGGGGCCAGGGGCGUCUCCGGGGUGGGGGUCUCAGCCCCACACGCUGCGGGAUGGGGGGGGAAUGGGGGUCAACGGGGGGGGGGGGGGGGGAGGGUACGGCAGCCCCGGACCUACUGUGGGGUGUGGGGGACCCAUAGGAAGCGACGGGAAGAGCUCAGCCCCAUAGGUUGCACGUGGGGACCCCAUAGACACCAAUGGAGACCCCAUUGACACCAAUGGAGACCCCAUAGACCCUAAUGGGGACCUCAGUCCCAUAGAUUGCAAUGGGGGACCCUAUAGACCCCAAUAGGAGACUCCAUAGACCCCAAUGGAGACCCCAUAGACCUCAAUGGAGACCCCAUAGACCUAUCCCCUUAACCUAUGGGGACCCCAGCCCCAUAGAUUGCAAUGGGGGACCCCAUAGACCCCAAUAGGAGACCUCGUAGGACACAGUGGGGGACCCCAUAGACCCCAACAGAGACCCCAUAGACCUCAACGGAGACCCCAUAGACCCCAAUGAAGACCCCAUAGACCCCAAUGGAGACCCUAUAGACCCCAAUGGGGACCUCAGCCCCAUAGAUUGCAAUGGGGGACCCCAUAGACCCCAAUAGGAGACUCCAUAGACACCAAUGGGUAAUCCCAUAGACCUCAAUGGAAACCCCAUAAACUCCAGUGGAGACCCCAUAGACCCCAAUGGGAACCCCAUAGACCCCAAUGGGGGACACCAGCCCCAGAGACCUCAAUGCGAGACCCCAUAGACCCCAAUGGAGACUUCAGCCCCAUAGAUUCCACUGGGACCCCCCAAAAACCCCAAUGUGAGACCCCAUAGACCCCAAUGGGAACCCCAUAGACCCCAAUGGGAGACCCCAGCACCAUAGACCUCAAUGCGAGACCCCAUAGAUCCCAGUGGAGACCCCAUAGACCCCAAUGGUGGACCCCAUAGACCCCAAUGGAGACUCCAGCCCCAUAGAUUCCACUGAGGGCCCUAAAGACCCCAACAUGAGACCCCAUAGACCCCAAUGGCAGAACCCAUAGAGCCCAAUGGGGGACCCCAGCCCCAUAGACCCCAAUGGAGGGCCCCAUAGAUCCCAAUGGAGACUCCAGCCCCAUAGAUUCCACUGGGGGCCCCAAAUACCCCAACAUGAGACCUCAUAGACCCCAAUGGGAACCCCAUAGACCCCAAUGGGAGACCCCAGCCCCAUAGACCUCAAUGCGAGACCCCAUAGAUCCCAGUGGAGACCCCAUAGACCCCACUGGAGAACCCCAUAGACCCCAAUGGAGACUCCAGCCCCAUAGAUUCCACUGGGGGCCCCCAAAAGACCCCAUUGUCCCCCCAAAAGACCCCAACAUGAGACCCC
ensembl:lncRNA